rnacentral:rRNA from 1 species
GACAGAGGGUGCAAACGUUGUUCGGAAUUACUGGGCGUAAAGCGCGUGUAGGCUGCCCCGCAAGUCGGAUGUGAAAGCCCUGGGCUCAACCUAGGAAGUGCAUUCGAAACUGCGGGGCUGGAGUCCUGGAGAGGAAGGCGGAAUUCUCGGUGUAGAGGUGAAAUUCGUAGAUAUCGAGAGGAACACCGGUGGCGAAGGCGGCCUUCUGGACCGACAUUGACGCUGAGGAGCGAAAGCCAGGGGAGCAAACGGG